UCAACUGAUGAAAACGUGGAAUAGGAAGUGCCGUCAGAUGCGAUAACUGAUGAAUAUUUCUAAUCCGUUAUUCUGAGC
ensembl:snoRNA